UUAAGUUGUCAAGGGCGAACGGUGGAUGCCUUGGCACCAGGAGCCGAUGAAGGACGUGGGAGGCCGCGAUAGGCCUGGGGGAGCUGUCAACCUAGCUGUGAUCCCAGGGUGUCCGAAUGGGGGAACCUGGCACGAGUCAUGUCGUGUCACCUGCAUCUGAAUUCAUAGGGUGUAGGGGGGAACGCGGGGAAGUGAAACAUCUCAGUACCCGUAGGAAGAGAAAACAAUUUAGUGAUUCCGUGAGUAGUGGCGAGCGAAAGCGGAUGUAGCCUAAACCUUGCGUGUGUGAUACCUGUCAGGGGUUGCGCGUGGGGGGUUGUGGGAUCUGUUUUCUGUGUCUGACAGUGCAGAGAAGAGUUAUAAAGUUGCAUGUUAGUCGAAUGGUGUGGGAAAGCCAGCCGUAGACGGUGAGAGCCCGGUAGGCGAAAAUGUGUGACCUCUUUACAGAUAUCCCGAGUAGCAGCGGACUCCUGAAAUCUGCUGUGAAUCUGCCAGGACCACCUGGUAAGGCUGAAUACUUCCUGGUGACCGAUAGCGGACGAGUACCGUGAGGGAAUGGUGAAAAGUACCCCGGGAGGGGAGUGAAAUAGUACCUGAAACCGUUCGCCUACAAUCCGUCAGAGCCUUUCGGGGUGAUGGCGUGCCUUUUGAAGAAUGAGCCUGCGAGUUAGUGGCAUGUGGCGAGGUUAACCCGUGGGGGGUAGCCGUAGCGAAAGCGAGUCUGAAGAGGGCGUUUGAGUCGCAUGUUCUAGACCCGAAGCGGGGUGAUCUAGCCAUGGGCAGGUUGAAGCGUGGGUAAGACUGCGUGGAGGACCGAACCCACCAACGUUGAAAAGUUGGGGGAUGACCUGUGGUUAGGGGUGAAAGGCCAAUCAAACUCCGUGAUAGCUGGUUCUCCCCGAAAUGCAUUUAGGUGCAGCGUCGUGUGUUUCUUGCCGGAGGUAGAGCACUGGAUGGUCUAGGGGGCCUACAAGCUUACCGAAAUCAGCCAAACUCCGAAUGCCGGUAAGUGAGAGCGCGGCAGUGAGACUGCGGGGGAUAAGCUUCGUAGUCGAGAGGGAAACAGCCCAGAUCACCAGCUAAGGCCCCUAAGCGUGUGCUAAGUGGAAAAGGAUGUGGGGUCGCUUAGACAACCAGGAGGUUGGCUUAGAAGCAGCCAUCCUUUAAAGAGUGCGUAAUAGCUCACUGGUCAAGUGGUUCCGCGCCGACAAUGUAGCGGGGCUCAAGCACACCGCCGAAGCUGUGGCAUUCACAUGGUAGCCCGGUGGGAACUUUCGGGUUUUCAUCCAGGUGUGUGGAUGGGUAGGGGAGCGUCGUAUAGCGGGUGAAGCGCCGGGGUGACCCAGGUGUGGACGCUAUACGAGUGAGAAUGCAGGCAUGAGUAGCGAAUGAAGGGUGAGAAACCCUUCCGCCGGAUGACCAAGGGUUCCAGGGCCAGGCUAAUCCGCCCUGGGUGAGUCGGGGCCUAAGGCGAGGCCGAGAGGCGUAGUCGAUGGAUAACGGGUUGAUAUUCCCGUACCCGCGUAGGAGCGCCCAAGACGAACCCACCUGUACUAACCACGCGAAGUGCCGGCGGUUUUCGGACCUAUGGUAUGGAGUCUGGGAUCUUGGGUGGUAGUAGUUUAGUGAUGGGGUGACGCAGGAAGGUAGCUGAUCCCGGCCGGUGGUUGUGCCGGGGUAAGCGUGUAGCCCGAUGUGUAGGUAAAUCCGCAUGUCAUGUGGGUGAGACGUGAUGCCGAGCCGUUCAGGUGAAGUCAGUGAUCCUAUGCUGCCGAGAAAAGCCUCUAGCGAUGUUCCGAGCGGCCCGUACCCUAAACCGACACAGGUGGUCAGGUAGAGAAUACCGAGGCGACGGGCGAACUGUGGUUAAGGAACUCGGCAAAUUGCCCCCGUAACUUAGGGAGAAGGGGGGCCGGACGCGUGAAGCCCCGUGCGGGUGGAGCGUGGUAUGGCCGCAGAGAGCAGGGGGAAGCGACUGUUUACUAAAAACACAGGUCCAUGCGAAGUCGUAAGACGAUGUAUAUGGACUGACGCCUGCCCGGUGCUGGAACGUUAAGGGGACCUGUUAGCCUUUCGGGGCGAGGCGGAGAACUUAAGCGCCAGUAAACGGCGGUGGUAACUAUAACCAUCCUAAGGUAGCGAAAUUCCUUGUCGGGUAAGUUCCGACCUGCACGAAUGGCGUAACGACUUCCCCACUGUCUCAACCACAGGCCCGGCGAAAUUGCAGUACGAGUAAAGAUGCUCGUUACGCGCGGCAGGACGGAAAGACCCCGGGACCUUUACUAUAGCUUGACAUUGGUAUCUGAAUGUAAUUGUGUAGGAUAGGUGGGAGCCGGUGAAGCUCGGACGCCAGUUCGGGUGGAGGCAAUCUUGAAAUACCACUCUGUUGGAUUUGGGUAUCUAACUUCGGGCCCUGAUCGGGUCCAGGGACAGUGUCUGGUGGGUAGUUUAACUGGGGCGGUUGCCUCCUAAAGGGUAACGGAGGCGCCCAAAGGUUCCCUCAGCCUGGUUGGCAAUCAGGUGUUGAGUGUAAGUACAUAAGGGAGCUUGACUGUGAGACUGACAGGUCGAGCAGGGACGAAAGUCGGGACUAGUGAUCCGGCACUUGCGUGUGGAAGCGGUGUCGCUCAACGGAUAAAAGGUACCCCGGGGAUAACAGGCUGAUCUUCCCCAAGAGUCCAUAUCGACGGGAUGGUUUGGCACCUCGAUGUCGGCUCGUCGCAUCCUGGGGCUGUAGCAGGUCCCAAGGGUUGGGCUGUUCGCCCAUUAAAGCGGUACGCGAGCUGGGUUUAGAACGUCGUGAGACAGUUCGGUCCCUAUCCGCCGUGCGCGUUGGAUACUUGAGAAGGGCUGUCCCUAGUACGAGAGGACCGGGACGGACGAACCUCUGGUGUGCCAGUUGUCCCGCCAGGGGCACGGCUGGUUAGCUACGUUCGGAAGGGAUAACCGCUGAAAGCAUCUAAGCGGGAAGCUCGCUUCGAGAUGAGGUAUCCCACCACCUUCGAGUGGGUAAGGCCCCCAGCUAGACGACUGGGUUGAUAGGCCGGAAAUGUAAGCCAGGUAACUGGUUCAGUUGACCGGUACUAAUAGGCCGAGGGCUUAACCA
rnacentral:rRNA from 1 species